ensembl:lncRNA LINC02028 long intergenic non-protein coding RNA 2028
GAGCAGCUGCGCCACCGGCUCAGCCUCGCGGCGGGGGAAACCCGAGCUCCCAACAAAACGGUUCCAUCUUUGGCUAGGCCUUUGGCACCAAAGAAGGCCCAGAGAGGUUUAACAACUUCCUCAGAAUCACACAGCUUCCAAAUGGUUGGGUUGGGUUUACAUUUAGGCGGUCUUGCUCCAGAGCCAGUGCUCCUAACCUUUGCAAGCCACGAACCUCAAGAAAGUGGAGAAGGAAACGCUGGGAAAUCUGGAAGUCAGACAUGGCAAGUUUUUCUCACUGUAAGAAGAGGACAAUAGCCUAUGAUCUACAGUGCCCAUUCCAACUCAGAGAAUCUUUACAUCUGGAGAUCUAUAGCAGGGCUAUCCCUAGUGACAUGCGUGAAGAAGCUUGGAAAUGGUGCUGGGUAGGAGCUGAGUGUGCAGAAUGUGGAAAGGCAUUCUAAACCAAAGGAAGAACACGAGUAAAGAUGAUGAAGCAGGGAUAAGGCUAAAAUGAAAUUUGUGAUCUGAUCCACAUACAAGCACAGUGUAGUACAGCUGGAAUAUAGAGAAGAGCUUGAAGACUUAUGAGCAACUAUCCCGGUACUCUUGGAGGCUCUGCAACCACAGUUUGAGAAACUCCGCGUUCAAAGUUAAAAACUGUCACCUGAAUAGUUAAUAACAUCAAAGAUUGUGAAAGCAAGUAUAAAUAACACAGAGAUUAAAAUAAUGAGGCAGGAUCAGAAAGAUGACUGAAACCCACAGCAAACAAUCCUCAUGAAAUACAGCUCAGCUCAUCCUGAAGAAUAAGUGGGAGGUCAGCCUCACGGGAAAUUCGAUAUCUCCACAUGCAGCUGUCAUGCCACAUGGAAACAGUCAUGCAUAGGGUCCUGUCACCUGGUAGACUGACCCCAGGUCCACUGACCCCUGACAAUCAUCAACCGCUUCUGAGGGCUCCAUGAUUGAGAUUUGUCCCCAGGAACUCAGGGGAAACUAUAUAUUGAUUAAAAUGAACUAUCAAAAU